rnacentral:lncRNA from 1 species
UUUUUUUUUUUUUUUUUUUGUGAUUACAGAGGAAAUCCGCUUUAGGAAUUAAACACUAGGCCUGUAAAUAUUUCAGUUCCUGUCUCCAAACUAGGGUCUCUCCUCUUGGGCACUGUGGAUGUUGGGGCGAAGCCAUUCUCUGGGGUGGGGCCGUCCUGGGCAUUGCAGGGUACAAAGCAGCGUCCCUGGCCUUCACCCACUCCAUGCCAGGAGCACCCCCAGUGUUGAUGACCACAGAUGUCCCCAGACAUAGCCUAGUGUCCCCCGGGGACAGAAUCCCCCUCCACUCCCCACCCCCCACCACUGAGAACAACUACUAUUUUUUUUUUUUUUUUUGAGAUGGAGUCUCUCUGUCACCAGGCUGGAGCACAGUGGCGUGAUCCCGGCUCACUGUAACCUCUGACUCCCUGGUUCAAGUGAUUCUCCUGCCUCAGCCCCCCGAGUAUCUGGGACUACAGGCAUAUGCCACCACAUCUGGCUAAAUUUUGUAUUUUUAGUAGAGCCGGAGUUUCACCAUGUUGGCUAGGAUGGUCUCGAACUCUCGACCUCAGGUGAUCCGCCCGCCUCGGCCUCCCAAGGUGCUGGGAUGACAGGCGUGAGCCACCACAUCUGGCAGAGAAUAACUACUAUUCUAAAGGCUAAGGUGGCCAGGUGCGGUGGCUCACGCCUGUCAUCCCAGCUCAUUGGGGAGGCCGAGGCCGGAUUAUUCCUUGAGGUCAGGAGUUUGAGACCAGCCUGACCAGCAUGGUGCUGGGAUUACAGGUGUGAGCCUCCGCACCUGGCCGCUAAUUUUUGUAUUUUUAAUAGAGACGGAGUUUUGCUAUGUUGGCCAGGCUGGUCUCGAACUCUUGACCUCAGGUGAUCUGUCUACCUUGACUUCCCAAAGUGCUGGCAUUACAGGCAUGAGCCACCACGCCCAGCCUUUUUUUUUUUUUUUUUUUUUUUGAGAAAGGAUCUUGCUCUAUCACCCAGAGUAGUGGUGGAGUGCCGUGGUGCAAUCCUAGCUCACUGUACCUUGGAACCCCUGGGCUGAAGCAAUCCUCCCACCUGGGCCUCCUGAGUAGCUGGGACCACGGACAUGUGCCACCAGGUCUGGCUUUUAAAUUUUUAGUAGAGACAGAGUCUCACUAUGUUGCCCAGGCAGGUCUCAGACUCCUGUCCUCAAGUGAUGCACCCGCCC